rnacentral:sRNA from 1 species
CUAAUCUGGGGGAUGGGGAGGGUCUUCCUUCAACUAUGACGCAGAUCAUUGAUACGACACGAUACGGUUUUUGCUUCUCACUUUUACUUUCGUUUACAGCCGCAGGAACCGCCGCCUCUCUGCUAUGGUAGAGUUCAAUGGACACUGCAGAUAUAUUCCAUGUUUGCUGAUAUCAGUAGAGAGCAUUCUUGAUAUAGAUAUUGAUGACAGGUAAUGCUGGGGCUAUUGAGGUGAACGGAUAACCAUGAUAUAGAGAGGGACAAGAGAGAAAGGGCACCCACACAUAUACACAUAAAAUUUGAGGAGCAGAAAAAAACCCAGAAUAGGAGAG